UACAGAGACUGCAAGCGUUAUUCGGAUUCACUGGGCGUAAAGGGUGCGUAGGCGGCUUCUUAAGUCUGGUGUGAAAUCUCCCGGCUCAACUGGGAGGGUGCGCCGGAUACUGAGGGGCUAGAGUGUGGGAGAGGAAAGUGGAAUUCCUGGUGUAGCGGUGAAAUGCGUAGAUAUCAGGAGGAACACCGGUGGUGUAAACGGCUUUCUGGACCAUAACUGACGCUGAGGCACGAAAGCGUGGGUAGCAAACAGG
rnacentral:rRNA from 1 species